rnacentral:piRNA from 1 species
UAACUGCCCUGCUUCAGGUGAACCAGG